rnacentral:rRNA from 1 species
UACCAUGCAAGUCGAACGCCCCGCAAGGGGAGUGGCAGACGGGUGAGUAACGCGUGGGAACAUACCCUUUCCUGCGGAAUAGCUCCGGGAAACUGGAAUUAAUACCGCAUACGCCCUACGGGGGAAAGAUUUAUCGGGGAAGGAUUGGCCCGCGUUGGAUUAGCUAGUUGGUGGGGUAAAGNNCUACCAAGGCGACGAUCCAUAGCUGGUCUGAGAGGAUGAUCAGCCACAUUGGGACUGAGACACGGCCCAAACUCCUACGGGAGGCAGCAGUGGGGAAUAUUGGACAAUGGGCGCAAGCCUGAUCCAGCCAUGCCGCGUGAGUGAUGAAGGCCUUAGGGUUGUAAAGCUCUUUCACCGGAGAAGAUAAUGACGGUAUCCG